ACCUCUUUUCUUGAACUUUCUCCUAUUUAUAUCAACAAAAUUAAAAUUCAAACUCAGUUACUAAUAUUUUAGCUUGAUUGGGAACAUGGGGAUUUUUACUUUCUGUAGAGAGAGAAAUGCAUGAAAGCACAGAAUACUUUGUGCAGACUCAGCAAAUUCUUUCUGCUUUUGUUUCUGGUCUUAGUUCCAAAAAUAGGUAUAAAACCAAAAAGUGGAACCAGGGGGGGCACCCCAUGAGGUUCUAUUUCUUGUCUUUGCGUACCUCGAUGUACCUGAGCUUCAUGAGUGAAGCUUGCAUGCUGCUCAGAGAUGCCGUGAACAAAGAUGUAUUAUCAUGGCGGGAUAUCAUCAUUGAAAAGCCUUUGAACUCGAGAUUGUAUGAUGAGAUUCUGGUGCAAAUCACUUCGAAGGCGAAUGGAAAACUGAGAACUUCGCCUCUUUUAAACUGUUUCGAGAUCACAGGAUAUGGGCUUCAAACCGUCAUGGAUAAAAAUCCUUGAAUCAGUAAGAACUAUUAUUGCUUACUUGGGUCAGUGGUGGUGAUGGUAGCCACCCCUUUAAAAUCACAAGUACCGGGAGACUUGGCCAUCUUCUGGAAAUAAGCAUUGAAAGCAUAUGUUGAAUGAGCAACAACAUUAUCUGGCUCGUAACAUAGCUGCCCUUGUAACAAGUAUGAGCAAUCAACUUUCCCUGGUCCACAUGCCCAAUCAAGAGCAGCUUGUAGCAUCUUCGGGUCAGCACCUUCCUUUGCCACGCAAAAGGUUUGGUUUGUGGUGUCGUUUGCCAAUACAGUACCAGCACCAGUCAAGUGUAAGGUAUAAACUGGCAUGCCGUCGGCAUCAAAAAGCCCCCAGUUCUUUUCAGAUAUUGCCCCGGGUCUCAAAUCUUCAUUAUAGAGUUCAUAAAUAUAUGUACUAACUGCAAUUUUAGGAUGUUUGGGAGUGCCUGUGUUAUUAAGCACAUGCCUGAUCAAGUUGCUGUUGUAAGUGUUAGCAUUUUCAAGUGUUGCAUCUGGCUCAGAUGAGUCACCUUUGGAGGGCCAACCAGACUCCGUCACAAAAAUAGGGACAUUGGUGAAAUUCAGAUAGGACAUAGCAAAAUAUGCGGCAUCAACAAUGGCAUCAAAGACAUUAGUGUAAUGAAGGAGUGUAUUAGCAUCCACAGCUUCCUUGUCAGGAGGGAGGGGACGGAAAAGCGCAUAAUCCAAUGGGAUCACACCAUUUGAUUGCAUGUAGUCGUAAUAUGGAUAUGCAUUUAGCAUGAAGUACGACCCUGUGGACUGCAAAAAUUUAAGCAAGGGAACCAUGACUGGAUCCCAAGAGCGAUUAAAAAAGGCUUGGGAAGGAGGGAACGAGUCAAGGAUGAUGGAAGAAGAGUGAGGGGUAGAGACUUUAAUUUGGCCAUCAAGAUUGGAGGCAACAAGGGCAGAAUGGAUGAACUUCAGGGCAGAGACCAGGACAGGGGCAGCAUUUGGGAGCGUAGUAAGGAUUUCAGAUCCAACUGCAAUGGCUGUGAUGUUGGUGGCAGGGACAUGGGCUAUUACAUUUCGAGCAACCCAGUUGGCUGCCGUGGCAUUCGAUUGACCAAUGCCAAGGAUCUGGUCAUUAGGAACAGAAACAGUUACACGGACGCCUGUGUUGGCAAGGGCAAGAAGCAGGGCUCGGUCUGCAUCAUAGAGCCUGACAUGUCUAAUAUUCUGAGCCUUAAGAAGGGCUACCACCUGAGUUGGGCUUGGCAUGUCAGAAAGUGCUGUGCCAAUGUUUACACCAAUGAAGCCAUCUGGAAAAGGGGGGAAAAAUGCAAUUCAGCAGUAGGAUUCAGGCAAAAAAAUUGUCCUUGUUGACAGAAGAUUUCAUCUUAAUGAAACCGCUAAAAGUGUUGAUAACUAUAUUUCAUACGAAGUAUGAAUGCAGACAUUGCAAUACUAUGUUUAGAAAGAGGAUCAGUCCUUGGCCUGAGAAAAUCUGAAACACAUAAAGGACGAGUGCAUUUUGACAUUGAAGAGAAAAAUAGUCACUAGUCAGGCAUGGAAAAUAAUUUCCAUAUUGUCAGACACAAAUUUCUGUAACUUGAGCUCAUUUGACACCAAUCAGGUAGAUAUCCAUGAUCAUCCA